GACACUAUAGCCAAGUGGUUACGGCGACAGAUUCGAAUCUAUAAGUACUUAUCUGUUUCCCUCUGGGAGCGCAGGUUCAAAUCCUGCUGGUGUCG
rnacentral:tRNA from 1 species